rnacentral:rRNA from 1 species
CACCUCUACGGGGGGCAGCAGUGAGGAAUAUUGGUCAAUGGUCGGGAGACUGAACCAGCCAAGCCGCGUGAGGGAGGAAGGUACAGAGUAUCGUAAACCUCUUUUGUCAGGGAACAAAGGCGGGGACGUGUCCCCGGAUGAGUGUACCUGAAGAAAAAGCAUCGGCUAACUCCGUGCCAGCAGCCGCGGUAAUACGGAGGAUGCGAGCGUUAUCCGGAUUUAUUGGGUUUAAAGGGUGCGCAGGCGGUCUGCUAAGUCAGCGGUAAAAUUGCGGGGCUCAACCCCGUCGAGCCGUUGAAACUGGG